AGAAAAGAAAACAUGUAUUUCUCUGCAAAUAUUUGUAAGUGCCAGCAACAUCAUAAGCAGGAGAACUGUAGUUUGGAAAAGCCUGACACAGCAUGGAUAUUAUAAUGAUUGACAUAGUUUCUAGGUGACUUGAGACAGGGCUACUGAAGGAUUGAUGACUAUUUUCAGAUCAAGGAUUUUUUCUGACUUGAGUUGUAGUGAUUCAGAAUUUUGAUUAUCAUUUUCAGUCUAUAAUCUUGCAAAUAUACAGAGACAUUCAGUAUUUUUCAAGUAUAUAAACAGUUUCAGUGUGCCUCUAUUUAUAGAUUUUCAAUCUCUUUGAGUGUGCAGAGAUUCUGGAUUUGUCUUUGCUGUAACAAUCUAUGAAGUGAUAAGAAUAACAAUGUUUUUGAAAAUCUUAUAUAGAGUUGUUGAAGGGUUUCACAGAGAUACCGUUCAGAUUAUUUUGCAUUCUUUCAUUAUUAUGUACAAGUGCAUGAUGUCAUGUAAUCAUUUUUACUUCAGACUUUGUACUGAUUAUGUAAUGGUGGCUUGACAAUA